rnacentral:rRNA from 1 species
AAUGAACGCUGGCGGCAUGCCUAAUACAUGCAAGUCGAACGGACGCACGGUAAGCUUUCUUCUCUGAUGUUAGCGGCGGACGGGUGGGUAACACAUACAUCACCUACCUAUAAGACUUGGAUGACUACGUGAAGCCGGAGCUAAUACCAGCUCAUAUUUUGUACCGCAUGGAUCAAAAGUGAUUGGCGGUCUUGCUGUCACUUAGAGAUGGUUCCGCGCUGCAUUAGCUAGUUGGUAAGGUAACGGCUUACCAAGGCAACGAUGCAUAGCCGACCUGAGAGGGUGAUCGGCCACACUGGAACUGAGACACGGUCCAGACUCCUACGGGAGGCAGCAGUAGGGAAUCUUGCGCAAUGGGCGAAAGCCUGACGCAGCAACGCCGCGUGGGUGAUGAAGGUCUUCGGAUCGUAAAACUCUGUUAUUAGGGAAGAACAUAUGUGUAAGUAACUGUGCAUAUCUUGACGGUACCUAAUCAGAAAGCCCCGGCUAACUACGUG